rnacentral:misc_RNA from 1 species
UAGAAUUCAGACCCCAACUGGACGGAGCACAUUCCUCUGGGAUAUUCUCGUUCCGGAAAUUCAAGAAUCGCAGAGAGAUGAUGAGGUUCCGCUGUUUCAUCUUUUGGGAUCUUGAUUUCAAACAUAGAGAGAACCAUUUCUCCAUAUCUAUGACGCAACAACAUGUAAAUCGUUGUACUCAUUUCCUUGGCGAAUUCGGUUUCGAUAAAGGAAGGAUAGGUUUGGAGCUAAUCUUCAAUUCGAAGUGUCUGAAGAAUUUUCAGAUGGAGGGCUUACGCUCACAAUUUGGGUAUCGAGACGAAGGAGGAGAACA